rnacentral:lncRNA from 1 species
CACGACGCCGCCAGCUGAUCGCAGACUGUAGCCGGUGUGUGCUGGGCGCUGGGAAGAGACAGCGCCGCCGGCCGUGGGGAUCGGACGCACUGAUUUGCUCCCCUACCCUCAGCACCCCCCCACCCAGCACCAGGCACCUGUACCUCCCACAUCCUCACCUGGCUGAGCCGCAGUAGUUCUUCAGUGGCAAGCUUUAUGUCCUGACCCAGCUAAAGCUGCCAGUUGAAGAACUGUUGCCCUCUGCCCCUGGCUUCGAGGAGGAGGAGGAAGAAGAGAAGGAGCUGCCUUCCCCUCAUCUGGAAGGUGACAGAACUGGGUCUGGGAAGGUCUGAACAGCGAGCGUGAUGAUACCUUUGGGAAAGGGAACCCUAUUCAGCUGGAGAACCUUCACCCAGAUUGAGCCAGCAGGAGAGAAAAUUUCAGAUUAGAGACCUUGGCUGAAUUGGGGAAUAGAUGGCUCUGACUACACCCAAGUGUCUCCCUCCAGCCUUGGGUAUGUGGCUCUGCCAUCCUCACCCAUCAUGGAGCAGAAAUGAGGAAGAGCAGCCUGGGAACACAGAGGCAGGCAGAAGACUAGUGAAGGACCAGGCCUGGAGAGCACAGGGCCCUGUCUGGACAUCUGCUGAGGGGGGCCCAUAGAGGCCAGGAGAGCCCCAGGAGGAGGGAGAACGGCCAGCCUCCAUCGAGGACAAGCUUCCAGCCAUCUACUUCAUUCUCCGUUGCUCUCCAGUCGUUCUGCCUCCCUCAGAGAUGUGGGACCAUGUUAAAGCGUCCUUGGCUUCAUCCUGCUGCUUCCACCUCUCCCCACCAUGUAAUUUAGCUGUGAAAGGACAUAUGCAGAAAAUUCUUAAAAGAAAUUCAAAUGGAUUUGAAUGUGUGGGAAAAAAUGUGUGCUUCAUUAGUAAUUAAAGAGAGGCAAAUAUAGCUGAAAGCAUUUUUCCCGUAGCAAACUAUAACAGAAAAAAAAUAAGACCCAGUUAUUGGCAAAGGAGUACUAAAAUAACACUCUGUACAUUGCAUAUGGGCGUACAAAUUGGUACAGCCUUACUGAUGUCAGUUUGGUAAUAUGUAUCAAACAUCCUAAAAGUUUCCAUGGCCUUUGACCUAGUAAUUCUACAUUUGGGAAUUUAUCCUAAGGAAAUAAGUAAAGAUUAGUUUAAACGAUGUUCAUCCCAGCAUUGCAGUAGAGAAAAAUGAGAAGCAACUAUCUGGUUGGGAAUUGAUUUCUUUUCUGCUAUAAUUGAAAUUUGCAAGAGGGGGUUGCUUAAGUAAAUUAUUGUAUAUCCAUCCGGAUGGUGGGGUGGAGUGCUGUGCAGCCAUUAAAAGUCACAUAGAAGAACAUUUGACUGGAAAGAAAAAUGCUCCUUGAACAUUAAAAAGGUUAUAAAAAUGGUGUAUAUUAUGUGAUCUCAAUUUUGUUUUUAUACAUAAAACAGUCUGAAAAAGACUGACGACAUACUCCAAAUUGUUAAUAAUAGUAGUUACCUUUGAAUGAUGGAAUAAAAUAGUCGUAAUUUUUCUGUUUGGUUUUCUGUAGUUGCCAAAUUUUCUACAUUAAUUGUGUAUGACUUCCAUAUAAUAAAAUUUAAAAGAAUCAGUGUAGGGCUUCCCUGGUGGUGCAGUGGUUGAGAGUCCGCCUGCCGGUGCGAGGGACACGGGUUCGUGCCCCGGUCCGGGAAGAUCCCACAUGCCACGGAGCGGCUGGGCCCGUGAGCCAUGGCCACUGAGCCUGCGCGUCUGGAGCCUGUGCUCCGCAAUGGGAGAGACCACAACAGUGAGAGGCCCGCGUACCGCAAAAAUAAAGAAAGAAAGAAAGAAUCAGUGUAAUUUUUAAAACUUUUGGAGAGGUGGGUGUGGAAGAAAUGAAGGGAUGCCCCCAGCCCCAUUCGUUUAAUGGGGUUUUGGUGGAGGAGGAGGGUUGUGAGAACGUUUGGG